rfam:Rhizopogon vesiculosus strain AM-OR11-056 contig10274, whole genome shotgun sequence.
GGCCGCCUGGCGAAAUGGCAUCGCGUCUGACUACGAUUACGAAAUCAGGAGAUUGCAGGUUCGACCCCUGCGGUGGUCA